UCAGUGUGUGUGUUAGUGGAAGCGUCUGGAAAGGCGUGCGAUACAGGGUGACAGCCCCGUACACAAAAAUGCACAUAUUGUGAGCUCGAUGAGUAGGGCGGGACACGUGGUAUCCUGUCUGAAUAUGGGGGGACCAUCCUCCAAGGCUAAAUACUCCUGACUGACCGAUAGUGAACCAGUACCGUGAGGGAAAGGCGAAAAGAACCCCGGCGAGGGGAGUGAAAAAGAACCUGAAACCGUGUACGUACAAGCAGUGGGAGCCUCUUAAUGGGGUGACUGCGUACCUUUUGUAUAAUGGGUCAGCGACUUAUAUUCUGUAGCAAGGUUAACCGAAUAGGGGAGCCGAAGGGAAACCGAGUCUUAACUGGGCGUUAAGUUGCAGGGUAUAGACCCGAAACCCGGUGAUCUAGCCAUGGGCAGGUUGAAGGUUGGGUAACACUAACUGGAGGACCGAACCGACUAAUGUUGAAAAAUUAGCGGAUGACUUGUGGCUGGGGGUGAAAGGCCAAUCAAACCGGGAGAUAGCUGGUUCUCCCCGAAAGCUAUUUAGGUAGCGCCUCGUGAAUUCAUCUCCGGGGGUAGAGCACUGUUUCGGCAAGGGGGUCAUCCCGACUUACCAACCCGAUGCAAACUGCGA
rnacentral:rRNA from 1 species